CUCGUCUCCUCUAAGCUCUCGCCCAAGACCCACAAAUUCAAAUCCACCAUGGCCGAGCUCAGAUCAAAAAACCACGGCCGAGCUCAAACACUUGCACGCCUAAAACACCUGGUUCAUCCUUGCAGCCGACGACUAUACCUUGCAGUCGUCUCCAGAAACAGCGAUGUGGUUAUGCCCUCCAAAUGUUCGAUCAAUUUCCCAACCAGAGUGGCUUAUCGUAACGAGAGGUUGUGCCUUUCAACUGAGCAGGACAACAUUUUGAGCUAAUUAAGGAUCCUGAUAUGGAGCGUAUAGUCAGCUUAUAACUUUAAUUACUGCUCUAAAUGUUGAGGAAUCAUCUCCAACAACUAGUAGUAGUUGUCACUCAUUCUCAUAUUCUCAUAUAUAUGGUCAAUCGGUAUCCUUGAAACAACACCUGGGAAACUUGAUAUUCAUGCUUCCACUCUAUCGAAAGCGCCUCCAGACGUCUCUCUUCGCCGCCUGACUUACUAGAACAACCUCGAUAAAACAGGCUUACAUGAACUUGGCUAAAGUUUAUGGGGAGAGAAUUACAUUGGAGCUUGAAUCCAUUCAAUUUUCAGAUAGAUAAUCAAGUCAAGAACCUCUCCUGCUUCAAGGCCUGAAGUUUCUGUACAGGACACAACAGGUUGCUUCGGUCAGAGAGUCUAAGAUCUAAAUUAUUGCAAUCCAUCCAAAGAGUGAGACAAUUGUGUGUCCUUAUUACUCACUCAAGGUGGAUUAGGA